AACGCAUCUCAUCGUUUUGCAAGAAUGGAUAUCAUUACAAGUACAUGUAUUGAAAAGGUGGGUAUAAGGAGUUGGCUUACACUCUCCAUAAGCUACAUCAGAGUCACAUCAAUACAACCAUAUACAAUCAUCAUGUAGAAGAGUAGGGCCCGACUACGGAUGAAAACAAACGAUAAAAGAACGACGUCCAUCCUUGCUAUCCCUGGUUGCAGGCAUGGAACCCAUCCUAGAUCGAUGAUGAAGAACAAGAAGAAACUCCAAAUAGCACAAUCAGCGCGCUCACGUCAAAGUAACUCUUUACCUGUACCUACAACUGGUGUUGUAGUAAUCUGUGAGCCACAUGGAUUCAGUAAUCUCAUUUCCAAAGGUAUCAAGACUAGUAAAGCUUAAUGGAUGAGGUAUGGUUAAGUGGCGAGGCUGCAGCAAGCGACUAAGCAUUUAUUUGAGGUGGCUAACUUACGAAUACAAGAAUAAAAGAGGGGGAAGAUCUACGCACAGUGGACGUGAACUACUGAUGAUCAAAUGAAUGAUCCUGAACACCUACUUACGUGAGACAUAACCCCACCGUGUCCUCGAUCGGAGAAGGAGCUCGCGAAAGAGACAAUCACAGUUACGCACUCAGUUGGCAUAAUUUAAUUAAGCUUACUUCAACUUAUCUAGAGUCGGAUGUUAAACAAAGUUUCCACAUUGCCACAUAACCGCUGGCAUGGCUUUCUGAAAGAUUUAACCCUGCACGGGUGCUCCAACUAGUCCAUCACAAACUACCACACGCUACGACGAAAUGACCUCGAUUAGGGAAACCCGUGAUCUCCUCAAGUUCCUAUUGGAAAACCUCAACCUCGAGAUAACCCAAAGCAUCGUCGGAAUCCCUCGCACAAGACGCUCGAGAAAGGUAAAACAAGUCCAGCAAGGCCGCCGGCGUGUCGAUGAUCCUGAUAGGAGCCGCGUAUCUCGUUCUCAGGACACGACAGGUAAGCUAGUGUACAGGGCCUCAUAGACAUCACCCGAGUUGCCCCGGGUUAGCCCCGCACAGUGCUCUAUUUUGGACCAGCACCAUCAACACUGGCCCUCCCUGUAUUAUGUUGAAUUACUCCUCGGGUUCAUGAUGCCCUAUGUUUUUCAGUAUUAAUAGCAUUAUUAUGUUGGGAAAUAUAGUACCAAUGGUGGGCCUUGCCAGACGAGUUUUAUCCCAAAACGAAAACCUAGGGGGUCCCCAUAACAACCCCAAGCAUGUUAGGAGCGCUCAUUUAUGGAACAUAACACCGGUAGCCGAAACUAAGGUGGCAAAGGUGGAACAAAACACCAGACUAGAAAGGCUGAGCCUUCCACCUUUUACCAAGUAUAUAGGUGCAUUAAAUUAAUUAGCAAUAAUAUGGUGAUAUAACAAGGAACCCAUGUUGGUACAUGGAAGCAACUGCACCUGCAACUAGCAACACUAUUCAAUGAUUAAGCAUGCGGUAACAUAGCCAUUCAGUGGUUUACUAGGUUGUAGAAAGGUUGAAGGUUUUCAUGGCAAUGUUGGGAGGCUGAUAUUUAACAGGUGGUAGGCAGCAAGACAUAACGAUAGAAACAAAACAACUAGCAUGACAAUGAUAGUAAUGGCAUCUAGGAAAAUGAUCAUCUUGCGUGUGAUCCCGCUUGGAAGAAGAACGACUCCGUGAAGCACACGAACCGACGUAGUCGAACAGAUCCUCACAUUCCGACACGCUUGCGGAACUCUACCGAGACGAAGCAAACCGGAAACAAGCAUCAACACACGACAUUCACCACACACAUGCACGAUAUGAUGCACACCCUAAUAUGAUGCAUGUCGAGUUUAAAAUAUGCAAGGCAUGGCAUGGCAAUAGGUGAAGCAUGUGAUUCUACACGUCAUUCUAGUCGGUUUAUACCUUAGAACAUUUGACACAGCUAUAGUCUACCAGAUAUGUGCAACACAAGAUACUAUGCCAUGAAUGCAAAACGCAUGCAAAUGACAACCACGACACGUUCCGGCUCCGGUAACUCGAUGAGAUAUCGGUGCAAAUGAAUUGGGAGUAUGUGCGUGUCAUGCCAGAGAACGAUGGGAUGAUCCCGAUUACCCGGUUCCCAUGUGCCGGAGGCAUGAAUAUGGGGAUACCUGCGACUAACAUGGCAUAUACGAAAUGGACAAUGUCGCAUCUCAUACAACAAUGCAUGUCUCGAAAAAUAAAAUCGCAGCAAGAAAAUAUAUGCAUCUGCCGAAUUACAACAUAGUGCAGCGAACCAGGAUUGGAUCAGGGCCAAGGAACUGACUAUGUGUGUGCAAAAAAAAUAUGGCAAAAUUGAGGCACCAAGGAAUUAAACCCAGGACCUCUAGCAUGUUGAUCAACAACAUAACCAACAUGACAUGUAGGUGCUAGUGAUUACAAAGGUUGUGGUUGUAGAUGAACAGUCGCACUAGUGAUACUCUAAAAAGCACACAUAAAAGCAGAAGUAAAAACGUACUGCAAAAAUCAGAAAAUCUGGGACUCAAACCCACCAUUUCCUGGAUACAAACCAGUGGCGCUAACCACAGCAACUUGGUUGCGUUUGUGUCAAAUAGGGGCGCUGCUCUAGAUGAAUCAUGACAACGAGCGAAUCAGAACUAACACACAACAAAAUAGAAAUGAAAAACAGGGGCAACUAGGAUUCGAACCCCACACCCCUCGAACCACUGCGCGCGGCAAUGACCAGCUUGGCUAGCACGGUGUUUGUGGACGAAAACAGCAGCUUGGCUUAACUACAUACGAACCAGAAUGGAUCUACGAAACAAAACGAAACCUUAUGGAUGGGGCGUUGGGUCACGGAUCCAUCCGAGGGGAGUUGAUUCCCGACAACGGCAAGAUGGACUCGAGCUCACACAAGCUCCCAUGGUUGUUGCUGCUC
rnacentral:lncRNA from 1 species